rnacentral:rRNA from 1 species
CACUCCUACGGGAGGCAGCAGUGGGGAAUAUUGCACAAUGGGCGCAAGCCUGAUGCAGCCAUGCCGCGUGUAUGAAGAAGGCCUUCGGGUUGUAAAGUACUUUCAGCGGGGAGGAAGGCAAUACGGUUAAUAACCGUGUUGAUUGACGUUACCCGCAGAAGAAGCACCGGCUAACUCCGUGCCAGCAGCCGCGGUAAUACGGAGGGUGCAAGCGUUAAUCGGAAUUACUGGGCGUAAAGCGCACGCAGGCGGUCUGUCAAGUCGGAUGUGAAAUCCCCGGGCUCAACCUGGGAACUGCAUUCGAAACUGGCAGGCUUGAGGCUUGUAGAGGGGGGUAGAAUUCCAGGUGUAGCGGUGAAAUGCGUAGAGAUCUGGAGGAAUACCGGUGGCGAAGGCGGCCCCCUGGACAAAGACUGACGCUCAGGUGCGAAAGCGUGGGGAGCAAACAGGAUUAGAUACCCUAGUAGUCCCAU